UACAGAGGGUGCGAGCGUUGUCCGGAAUCACUGGGCGUAAAGGGCGCGUAGGUGGCGACCCAAGUCCAUGGUGAAAGCUCGAUGCUCAACAUCGAGUCGGCCACGGAUACUGGGUUGCUGGAGCACUGUAGAGGCAGAUGGAAUUCCGGGUGUAGCGGUGGAAUGCGUAGAGAUCCGGAAGAACACCGGUGGCGAAGGCGGCAUCCUGGACCGACACUGACGCUGAGGAGCGAAAGCCAGGGGAGCAAACGGG
rnacentral:rRNA from 1 species